CGACGCUCCUUUGAAUUUGCAGUUUUUUGGGUUGAUUUUCUGGGGAUGGCAUCUUCAUCACUGGCGAGUCCGCUAUGCACGUGGUUGGUGGCCGCUUGCAUGUCUGUUACGUGCGGAAAAGAUCAGUAUCAGUCGUCAAUGCUCCGUUCAUCAGCUUCUUCCUCUUCCUCUAAGAGACUCGGCCGUUGGGCUCGUACUAGAAGGAGAGCUCCUCUCUCUCAAUGCGACGGCGUCUCAGACAGCAACCAAAACGGCGGUUUGAUUUCGUCGUUUUGUGGAUCCGGCAUUCAAGGCUUGAUGACUUCGUGUUUAGCUUUUGAGCCCUGCAAUGAGUACUAUUCCUCCAAAAACAGUAGCCUUUUUGGUCAAAAUGGAGGCUUUUCUCCUUUUUUUGGAUCCAAAAGCCUUCCCUUCAAUAACAAUCGCAAGCAACGCAGAUUCAAUCGAGGAGCUAGAUUUUCAGGAGAAGCCAUGGCUGUAGCUGUGCAACCCAGCAGAGAAAUCACAACAAAGAAGAAAUCUCCUACGAACAAAAGACGAGUAGUUGUGACAGGGAUGGGAGUGGUGACUCCGCUCGGACAUGAUCCCGACGUCUUCUACAACAACUUGCUCGAGGGUGCUAGUGGUAUAAGUGAAAUUGAGACUUUUGAUUGUGCACAGUUCCCAACUAGAAUUGCCGGAGAGAUAAAAUCUGUCUCAGCGGAUGGUUGGGUUGCACCGAAACUUUCCAAAAGGAUGGAUAAAUUCAUGCUUUAUAUGCUUAUUGCUGGAAAGAAAGCCUUGGAAGACGGUGGAGUAACUGAAGAUGUAAUGGAUGAGUUAGAUAAAGCGAAAUGCGGAGUUCUGAUUGGCUCAGCAAUGGGUGGCAUGAAGGUUUUCAAUGAUGCAAUUGAAGCUUUGAGGAUCUCGUACAAGAAGAUGAAUCCUUUUUGCGUACCGUUUGCUACUACAAAUAUGGGUUCAGCAAUGCUUGCAAUGGAUUUGGGAUGGAUGGGCCCUAACUAUUCAAUCUCCACUGCAUGCGCAACAAGCAACUUUUGCAUAUUAAAUGCAGCAAACCACAUCAUUAGAGGCGAAGCUGAUGUGAUGCUUUGUGGUGGCUCAGAUGCAGCAAUUAUACCGAUUGGACUGGGAGGAUUCGUGGCAUGCAGAGCACUCUCUCAAAGGAACAAUGAUCCAACCAAAGCUUCACGCCCUUGGGAUGCUAAUCGUGAUGGAUUUGUCAUGGGGGAGGGUGCUGGGGUUCUGCUUUUAGAAGAAUUGGAGCAUGCUAAGAGGCGAAGUGCGACCAUCUAUGCAGAAUUUUUGGGUGGAAGCUUCACUUGUGAUGCUUAUCAUAUGACUGAGCCACAUCCUGAUGGAAUUGGUGCCAUUCUCUGCAUAGAGAAGGCAUUGGCUCAGUCUGGCGUACCGAUAGAAGAUGUAAAUUACAUUAAUGCUCAUGCUACAUCUACACCAUCUGGAGACAUUAAAGAGUACCAGGCUCUUCUCCAUUGUUUUGGCAAGAACCCCGAGUUAAGGGUGAACUCUACAAAAUCAAUGAUCGGUCACCUACUGGGAGCUGCUGGUGCCGUGGAAGCUGUUGCAGCAGUACAAGCAAUACGGACUGGUUGGGUCCAUCCGAACAUCAAUCUCGAAACCCCAGAUGGAGCAGUGGACAUGAAUGUGCUUGUGGGGCAAAAGAAAGAAAGAUUGAGCAUAAAGGCUGCAUUGUCUAAUUCUUUCGGGUUCGGCGGCCACAACUCUUCUAUCAUUUUCGCGCCAUACAAGUAAAAUAGUUCAAUCAUUGCUCCACAGGUGUUUUCUCAGAUAUGGCGGAAGGUAUGGUAUCAACAAAGCAUAUCAUCUGUGGACAAACAUCAGUUUGAAAGGGUUAUUAUACAAAGUAUAGGUGGCCUAAUAGUCGGAGCUUUGGAGUUGUAAGGAGAGAACGUUCUCGCCGUGGUCUAUACGCCAUUGUUUCUGAGAUUUCGUUUUCUCCUGAUAUCUAGCUACAAUGGAGCUGUUAGUCAUGUUUUUUAGUUGACAUGGGCCAUUGGACCAGUGGGUGUGGUAGAUAUAUAGUUUUGG